rnacentral:rRNA from 1 species
GUGAACGCUGGCGGCAUGGUUAAGACAUGCAAGUCGAACGAUAAGCAAGACUUCGGUCUUGUGGACAGUGGCGAACGGGUGCGUAACACGUGAGCAACCUGCCCUUGAGUACGGAAUAGCUCACCGAAAGGUGAAUUAAUACUGUAUGUGACCCUCUACCGCAUGGUAGAGUGGUUAAAGCUUGUAAUGGCGCUCAAGGAUGGGCUCGCGGCCUAUCAGCUUGUUGGUAAGGUAAAAGCUUACCAAGGCUAAGACGGGUAGCUGGUCUGAGAGGAUGAUCAGCCACACCGGGACUGAGACACGGCCCAGACUCCUACGGGAGGCAGCAGUGGGGAAUCUUAG